UAGAAGUAUAGAAUUUAGGCUGCUAACUUGAAUUAGGGGACAUUCUGUCUCCGCUUCUAUA
rnacentral:tRNA from 1 species